rnacentral:rRNA from 1 species
AUGGACGUGCCGUGGGUGCUGGUGGCGCACGGGUCUGUGACGGCGCUGGUGGUUGUGUCGUUUCUCUGUGGGCAGUGGCCCAUCUUCGAGGGCACCUUCGUUCAGAGCAUCAACCACUUCCUCACCUCCGGAGCCUACCGCCACUUUCUGCGGCUAGUGCAGGCGGCGUGCGGUACCGGAGCCAGGGAUCUCGUGCUCGGCGUCGAGCAGUACUGCUGCGACCGCCCUAACCCUAUCCUGCAGGUUUUUUAUGUUGCCAUAAUUGGCGGAACAUAUUUUAUAAUAGUGCAGUCAUCUUUCAAGUACAUUCCUGGGUAUUACGUGAGUGUAUUGCACAGGUACCUGAGCAUUGUGGUUGUUUCUAUUGGUGCUAUACUCUUUGUUCUCACUAGCUUCUCUGAUCCUGGGACUAUUACUUCUGAGAACGUGUCUCAGUAUGUAUCUGCCUAUCCUUUUGACAACAUUAUUUAUGUAGAGAAAGAAUGUUCAACAUGCAAGAUUACCAGACCAGCUAGGGCAAAGCACUGUAGAAUAUGCGAUAGAUGUGUGGCUCGAUUUGAUCACCACUGUGGAUGGAUGAAUAAUUGCAUUGGGGAGAAGAAUACUCGCUAUUUUGUGGCCUUCUUAGUUUGGCAUUUUCUUUUAUGUCUGUAUGGAGCAAUUAUCCUUGGCUUCAUUGUUGCUGGUGAAUUGAAAGACAAGAAAGUUGUCUACAUACUGACAGUUUAUUAUGGCAUUGAUAAUUCAUUCUCUGCCCUGUUUCCCCAUGUUGCACAGUGGUUGCUUGCUGUCCAUAACACACAGAUACUUUUGGUUGUAUUUUUGGGUAUAAUAGCGUUGCUUCUUGGGGGGUUUUGUGCUUAUCAUGUACAUCUUUGCUUAUCCAACACGACCACAAAUGAGACAUUCAAAUGGCAAGACUACAUUUUCUGGAUGAAAAAGGAGAACGCAGUGAAAGCUAGCGCAUACACACUGAAGGCGAGCAUCAACGCAGCCAGCAGCGAAGCGCAGAAAUCGCCGCAAAGCAAAUGGAAGAAGUUCUUCUCAAGGUCGAAAACACGGGCCGAGGAGCCGGUCGUGAAGAAUAACAUAUAUGACGUUGGCUGGAUCAGGAACCUGUGUGAGGUGAUGGUACCUUUAUCGGAGCGGAGUUCGUUCUCUUGCAAGAAGUCGGAAUGA